rnacentral:rRNA from 1 species
CGGACGGGUGAGUAAAGCGUAGGGACCUGCCUUUAGGAGGGGGAUAGCUUGAGGAAACUGAAGGUAAUACCGCAUAAACUCUACGGAGCAAGGUAUGGACUUAGUCCAUACGCCUAGAGAUGGACCUACGUCGGAUUAGCUAGUUGGUGGGGUAAAGGCUUACCAAGGCGACGAUCCGUAGCUGUACUGAGAGGAAGAUCAGCCACAUUGGGACUGAGACACGGCCUAGACUCCUACGGGAGGCAGCAGUGGGGAAUAUUGGACAAUGGGGGCAACCCUGAUCCAGCAAUGCCGCGUGUGUGAGGAAGGCCUUAGGGUUGUAAAACACUUUCAGUAGUGAGGAAGUGUAUGUAGUUAAUAGCUGCAUAUAUUGACGUUAGCUACAGAAGAAGCACCGGCUAACUCUGUGCCAGCAGCCGCGGUAAUACAGAGGGUGCGAGCGUUAAUCGGAAUUACUGGGCGUAAAGGGUGCGUAGGUGGUUAUGCAAGUUAGGUGUGAAAGCCCCGGGCUCAACCUGGGAAUUGCGCUUAAGACUGUAUGACUAGAGUAUUGGAGAGGGAAGUGGAAUUUCCGGUGUAGCGGUGAAAUGCGUAGAUAUCGGAAGGAACACCAGUGGCGAAGGCGACUUUCUGGACGAAUACUGACACUGAGGCACGAAAGCGUGGGUAGCAAACAGGAUUAGAUACCCUGGUAGUCCACGCUGUAACGCUGAGAACUUGCUGUCACGUGCAUAAGACAUGUGGUAGCGGAGCUAACGCGUUAAGUUCUCCGCCUGGGGAGUACGGCCGCAAGGUUAAAACUCAAAGGAAUUGACGGGGGCCCGCACAAGCGGUGGAGCAUGUGGUUUAAUUCGAUGCAACGCGAAAAACCUUACC